CAGAGAGAGAGAUGAAGAGGUAUUGUAAAGAGUCCAAUGGGAAUUCACAAUGAGUUGGACUUCUGUAGCUGUCUGGCUGGCUCCGGCAGCCAUUCUUUAACCUUUUAUAGAUUCCGAUAUGAAAGAGGAAGAAGCCAAACCUCUGUCCCCGGAACACAUAGAUCAGAUAAUAAUGGAAAGUGGAAGGAGACACGUGUAACGAUCACCGGCCACGGCUGAGGCGGAUCUUCAUUGGAAACAACGCUCAUCAUGUAAAGGUCGGUGGACUGUGGAGACCCCCCUGGCCCCCACGUUACAUGAUGUUAGGAAAUGACAUUUACACCCUUGUCAGAAAUGCGUGUGAUUGGCUGGUGUUGGGUGGGCCGGGACACGGAUUUGUUUGAUUUGUUUCUAUUAGUAAUUAUUAAAAUCCCAUAUGGGCCAUAUGCUGGGCCCAUUGCUUGU